rnacentral:rRNA from 1 species
GAUCCUGGCUCAGGAUGGACGCUAGCUACAGGCUUAACACAUGCAAGUCGAGGGGAAACGACAUCGAAAGCUUGCUCCCGAUAGGCGUCGACCGGCGCACGGGUGAGUAACGCGUAUCCAACCUGCCCACCACUUGGGGAUAACCUUGCGAAAGUAAGACUAAUACCCAAUGAUAUCUCUAGAAGACAUCUGAAAGAGAUUAAAGAUUUAUCGGUGAUGGAUGG